GUUGGCCCUGGUAUGCCAUCUGCGCCUCUAACUCCUUUGCUUCCUUUCAUGCUGAGAGUAGAAAGACCAGGAGGCCCUGGAAAACCAGGAGCACCUGUACAGAAACAUCAGAGUAUGCUAACAUCUCACCACCCUGCCAAAACAAAACAUACCUGAGAUUCCUGCACCUCCAGUUUCCCCUCUGGUCCCAGGUGGUCCUGGUAUUCCUUUAUGUCCUGGAUGACCUUGGGAUCCUUUUUCCCCUUUGCUGCCCAAAACUCCUGGGGGGCCUGGAUUUCCCUGAGAAAAAGGAAUUGCACACAAACAGAGACUGAAUUUCUAUGUCAAAACAAGUACUUGGGAAAUCCUUACCUGGCACACCAGAGAUUCCUGGCCUUCCAGACUGUCCCUUGGGGCCAGGUUUCCAGCUCGGCCUGUAUCUCCAAUCUUUCCUUCAAAACCUGGUGACCCUUUGCCUCCUGCAAGUCCUUUAUCUCCUGCAAAAGGAAUUAAAUGGCAGUACAGAUGCUGUAGUUAUCACUUUAUUUUACAAAUGGAUAUUUGUAUGGAUGCAGUUACAAGCCUCUUACACUAAAGUAGCUGACAUGAGCUGAGGACAGCAUCCUGAUUUCAGAGUUGAUAUGACACACUGCAUCUUGUUCCUUACA